GCUGGUCUCAAACUCCCGACCUCAGAUGAUCCGCCCACUUUGGCCUCGGAAAGUGCUGAGAUUACAGGCGUGAGCCACCGCACCUGGCCAUAAGUAUGUUCUUAAUGCUGGAAGAAUUGUAGCUAUUACCUGCUGCCUACAGGUACAGAGACAAUCUGAAGUAAUCUGAUACUGCUUUUGGAAGUUUUUAACUAAAAAAGAGAAUGAUAUGACAACUUAUGAUAGUGGUUCAGAUAGCUCCUAACAAAGCUAAUGCUAAUCAAAUCAUAGGUUGUAAAUAUGAGAUAAUGUUAACACAAGUCAUAAUUAGCUAAAUAAAAGCUGUUGUCUCUUACAACUUUUAAUAGAUAUAACAUUUUUAGAAUAAUAAAAAGUAGGCUGGGUGGCUCACGCCUAUAAUCCCAACGCUUUGGAAGGCUGAGGCGCGCAGAUUGCUUGAGGUCAGGAGUUUGAGACCAGCCUGGCCAACAUGGUGAAACCCCGUUUCUACAAAAAAUACAAAAACUUAGCUGGGGAUGGUGGUAUGCACCUGUAGUCCCAUCUACUCGAGAGGCUGAGGCACAAGAAUUGCUUGAGCCUGGGAGGCGGAGGUUGCAGUGAGCUGAGAUCACGCCACUGCACUCCAGCCUAGAUGACAGAGCAAGA
rnacentral:lncRNA from 10 species